rnacentral:rRNA from 1 species
AGCCUGGCGAUGUCCUACUCUCACAUGGGGAGGCCCCACACUACCAUCGGCGCUAUUACGUUUCACUGCUGAGUUCGGCAUGGGAUCAGGUGGGUCCAUAAUGCUAUGGUCGCCA